CAAUCCAUCUCCCUCGGAAAAUCACAGCCGAGCGAAAAGCAGCUUCCUCUUUUUGGUGGUCGAAGAAAGCUACUUCCUUUAAAAGCCAGAAAAGUCAAAGCUACUGCCUUUUCUCUCUCUCUUCUCAUCACCAUCACUUUUUGUGUCUAAUUGGAGUAAGUGUUUCACGAUGCACCUACUUUGAAUCUUCAAUUUUUUUCCCUGCGUGUUUAUUUACAUUCUCAGCUUUUACACUAUAACUUGUUAUUUUGUUUUCUCUCUUAUUUUCUUUUGGUUUUGAAUAAUAAAGUCAUCAUCUGCUUCCCCAUUAACAUUUGGCACGAAUAAACAAAUUCGAGUUUUAGAUUAGAUUUUGGUGAACGUUUUUGAAAGUUGAUGGUUAGAUUGCUCAAUGGGUGUUGGGAAACUGGGUUUUCUGUCAGUUUUUGCGUAAUCGAAUUGGGUCUUAUUUGUCUAAUUAGUUACAGAAGAGAAGGGGAUGAGGGUGUGGAAUGUCAGGGAGAGGAAGGGAGAGGGAGGUCUGCCAAAAAUUGGGAUUGAUGGUGAGGGGAUUGUAGGGCAGACAGGAGGCCAUGCCGCCUCUGAGAUAGAGAUAGAGAGAGACAGGGAGAGAGACGGAGACAGAGCGAGAGAGGGAGGGAUUUUAGGGAUUUGCAAACUCUUCCCCUUGCUGCCUGUUCCGAUCUGAUUUGAAGAUUUCUCAAGCGGCUAUAAUUUCAUGGUCUAUGGGUGCAGCAAGCAAAAUCCCUUCAUUCAUAUGAGCUUCUUGGGCCUCUUUCUGAAAAGUUAGGUAUUUCUGAAAAGAAUAACAAUUCAUUUCAGUUUAAAUAUUUCUGAAAAGUUAGAGAUGGUUUUAUUAGUUUCAAAUUAUUUACUGCUGAAAAGUUUAACAUCUGCUGAGCACGUUGAGCGUUUGUAAAUUAGCCAAAUUAUAGGCAUGUGCAGGUGUUGUGUUUAAAACUUCGUUUUUUCAUGAGUUUUUAUUAAGCUUUGUGACUUUUUUUUUUUUUUUUUGUAUCGGUUGAUUUCUAAAUUACUAUAAUUAAGAACAAGAUUAGUGAGUUUUUAAUUUGCUGCUUAGCUUAACACGAUCCUUGAAUAAAAUUUGGGUCUUAGUUGAAGUUGGGUCAUAUUUUUAAGAAUGGUAAGAACUAAGGAAAUUUUUUCUGGGUAUUUCCUGUUCAACUUUUGUUGGCAAAUUGGUCUUUGCCAAUCAAUGUUAUUUUUGGGUGCUAACUGUUUUGGUCUUUAUAAAUUUUGGUAGCGGUGAUUUCUUCUGUACUUAUGAUGUGACAACGUUGUGUAAUGAUUGUAGGUUUUUGAAAAUUUUGAGCUUCACAAACUGUGGAAAAGGAAACAAGUUUUGCUGAAAUCAAUUUAAAGGCACAAUAACAAAGGACUUCAUUUACCAUUUACAAGUCAACCCCGCAAUACCAAAGUACAAGAGAAACAAAGAUUAGAGGUAACCCUUAUCCUUGAGAAGUGGAAAUGCAGCAUAAACAGCGAAGGAAGCGGCACCCCCGGUCCUUAACACGAUCCUCGGCAGCUUAAAGCUCUCUGCAACCGAUCGAGUGAAGUCGAAGAUAGGAUCCGAGAUCAAGCAUGCAAUGGGGUCCUCCGAAUUAACAUCGUCGGAUAACAACCCGGCCAAGCAUU